rnacentral:lncRNA from 1 species
GAAAGAUGACCUGCACAUGUUACAGGAGAUAUCAUCUUUACUCACUGUUCAAAUGUCGGCACAAACUCUCCAUAGAAAUGCUGCCUGAGACUGUCACACUGCUGCAAGCACAAGAACAAAACAACAGGACACUCACCACCACCAUCACUGCCAAACAACAAUGA